AAUUCAAAUUACGCCUUAACUUAAUUAGAAGUCAGUUCCUUCCCACUAAUGUUACUAUAGCUACCAAACAGAGAAACUAAAAGCCAUUGGUAUGUGGCAGUCUUAAUGAUGGAGGCGAUGGAGUUAGUUGUAUCGCUGUUACACACACAAGAGGCUAUCUUCUCUGUGUGAAUAUGUGUGUGUAAGAGUAACUAUUCUGAGACUUUUACUAAUGCAACACUGACUUCAGACCACCCUAAGCAAGUGGUCUGUUUGACACCUGAUGAUAUACAGUGUUAUUUGUAAAUACACAGUAAAUGCAAUAUUUGAAACGGUGCAGUAGCUACAUGUUUAACAUCCAAAUACAUGCAAAUAACAUAUAUUUACAUAUAUGCAUGUCUACUCCACACACGCACAUCGGCAACAUUCGUCAAUUUCUUGAAAAUGGGGUCAUAACCCCGAAAUAUUGAAGACAAGUUAAUUAGUCCGAGACGGCGGUUAUAACGCCUGUGACCUAUUCAGGCGCUCCAUCAAGCGUGACAUCGAUGUGACUGAUGUUCGCUUCGAACUUUUGUCGAUUUAAUGAAGCGUGGUAAGGAAAGUAAAACAAAAACAAAAAAGAAGCAAAAAAACAAACGGCAAAAUAGUAAUGAUAAAUGAAAACCAAACAACAGCAACAACAAAAAAUAAAAUAAAAUAGAAAGAAAAAUAAUGAAAGAAAAGAAAGAAAACGUG